AAAUUAGAGCUUAAAUUAAGUAUUUUAUUUACACUAAAAGGAUAAUUGUUAAAUUCAAUUUAAUUUGAA
rnacentral:tRNA from 1 species